ensembl:lncRNA
AUGUAAUGGAAAGGUUACUCCAUUGGAGGUAUUCCCAAACCCAGAAUUUCCUGCCACAUUGUCAAGGGCAGUGUAUUCAUACCACUUGAGAGUCAGAGUGACAGGAAACAACAACAAAAAAAAAGAGGACGACAGUUCGUUAGCAAAGCACAUAGCCCAAAACCUGAGCCCUUGCAUACCACUCCUGGUUUUACCACACUCCAAAGCCAAGUCAAGUCAUUUCUCAAGUAUCUCUGUUUCUUCCUCUGUAAAAUGUGGGUAGCAAUGCUACCCUGCAGUAAACCACAGAUAUGUAAGAGUGUAUUCCACUUCUUGUAUGACAGUUCUCAUGCAAGUGCUAAAUAUUCUGUUAUGUAAUAUGGAUGUUCUUGCAUGUGGUUGCCUUUUGAUGUUGAAGGACUGAAGCAGUUUAAAUACAGCACAGAUUUACGGAUGGGUGAUAUGGAUACGAGUGAUGAGGCAGUCCAUCUGUUGCCCUCUAUGAAAAUGUUUUGUGUAUUAGGAAAUUAGUAUUUAAGCAUAGAUACUUUCCACACCAUGUAAGAUCUUCUAUAAUUCUGCAAGACAAAUUUGAUCCAAAAGUCAAAGUUUUGCACUUUCAUUCAUAAAAUAGAUUGUCUAGAGAAUGGACAAGGCAACAAGUUCAGUGACAUUGGUAGAAGGCAAGGAGUCUUUAGAGAUAUUUAAGUAGUCCAUUCACCAGUAUUCUUUGGCUCAUACCCAGCUGUGAACUGGCUUUCCUCUUGUCAGAUUUUUAUGACAACCAAUUAAAUAAAUAUGACUGUAGAGACAUAUGGCAACAAUAAUGCUCUGAGUUUCUGCCCAUUACCACUUCAGCAGGAAAGCAAGAACACAAAGUAUUUGUUGUUGCUUAUUUAGAGAAUUCACUGAAGAAUAUCUCUUUCUUAAAUAAUGGAUUCACUGUGACUGUGUCAAAGGCAAUCAAUGCCAUGAAUGCUAUCUGUGCUGCUGUUAACAAAGCACUGUGCAGGAGGAGUUAGCUGUUUUUCUGCCAUCUAGAGCCAUAUUCAGAAAAUGUUGCUGGAAUCCUAAUGUGCAUCUGUUCUUGCCAAGACAUAUUUUAAAAUAUUAGAUAUUAAUCUUGCUACAGAAAACCCUAGGAGACAAGCCUACAUUAAUGUGCAUUUCUGAGAUUUCUGUUUCAUGGGUGACUAGACAUUUGAGUGCUGCAGACUUCACUAAGCACAACUUCUUUCAGUGAGUGCAUUAGAGCUAUGAUUUGUGGCCUUUAUCAGCU